GUAGUGCACCGCGAUCACGGUGGGCGUCAUGCCGAUCAUGUUCUGCUCUCCGCAGCCCGAGGGCGUGAUGAUCAGGUGCUUCAGCCGCUCCGCGUCCACAGCGUCCUCGGCCAUCUGGGCCACCGGGGUCCCUGCAGCCGGCCGUGCUCCAGUCAGGUCCAGGGGCUCCAGGCAUCCUUCUCGUCCCCUUCCUGCUCCAAUCGUCUUCCGUCAUGGGCAAUAAUUUGAACCAUUUCUGCUUUUGAUCCAUGUCACUUAUAAAAUUUGUAUGGUGUUUUCA